rnacentral:rRNA from 1 species
UCUUUGGAGAGUUUGAUCCUGGCUCAGGACGAACGCUGGCGGCGUGCCUAAUACAUGCAAGUCGAGCGGACCGGAUUGGGGCUUGCCUUGAUUCGGUCAGCGGCGGACGGGUGAGUAACACGUGGGCAACCUGCCCGCAAGACCGGGAUAACUCCGGGAAACCGGAGCUAAUACCGGAUAACACCGAAGACCGCAUGGUCUUCGGUUGAAAGGCGGCCUUUGGGCUGUCACUUGCGGAUGGGCCCGCGGCGCAUUAGCUAGUUGGUGAGGUAACGGCUCACCAAGGCGACGAUGCGUAGCCGGCCUGAGAGGGUGACCGGCCACACUGGG